rnacentral:rRNA from 1 species
GGGGGCAACCUGCACGCAGCAACGCCGCGUGAGUGAUGAAGGCUUUCGAGUCGUAAAGCUCUGUCAAGUGGGAAGAAUAUAAUAAAUGUUAAUAUCAUUUUUUACUGACGGUACCACUAAAGGAAGCACCGGCUAACUCCGUGCCAGCAGCCGCGGUAAUACGGGGGGUGCAAGCGUUAUUCGGAAUUAUUGGGCGUAAAGGGCGCGUAGGCGGUCUUUUAAGUCAGAUGUGAAAGCCCGGGGCUUAACCUUGGAAGUGCAUUUGAAACUGAAAGACUUGAGUAUGGGAGAGGGAAGUGGAAUUCCUGGUGUAGAGGUGGAAUUCGUAGAUAUCAGGAGGAACACCGGUGGCGAAGGCGACUUCCUGGACCAAUACUGACGCUGAGGCGCGAAGGCGUGGGGAGCAAACAGGAUUAGAUACCCUGGUAGUCCACGCAGUAAACGAUGAACACUAGGUGUAGCGGGUAUUGACCCCUGCUGUGCCGCAG